CGUAUCACCCAAGACAACUUUACGGAGUUGACGAUUGACGGAGCGAAGCGACGUCAAAGCGUUCAUUAAAGUCGAGUUGGCUUAGGGAUACGUUCGUUGGGUAGGGGAGCGUUCUGUAAGCCUGUGAAGGUGGCCUGUGAGGGUUGCUGGAGGUAUCAGAAGUGCGAAUGCUGACAUAAGUAACGAUAAAGCGGGUGAAAAGCCCGCUCGCCGGAAGACCAAGGGUUCCUGUCCAACGUUAAUCGGGGCAGGGUGAGUCGACCCCUAAGGCGAGGCCGAAAGGCGUAGUCGAUGGGAAACGGGUUAAUAUUCCCGUACUUGGUGUUACUGCGAAGGGGGGACGGAGAAGGCUAUGUUGGCCGGGCGACGGUUGUCCCGGUUUAAGCGUGUAGGCUGGUUUUCCAGGCAAAUCCGGAAAAUCAAGGCUGAGGCGUGACGACGAGGCACUACGGUGCUGAAGCAACAAAUGCCCUGCUUCCAGGAAAAGCCUCUAAGCAUCAGGUAACACGAAAUCGUACCCCAAACCGACACAGGUGGUCAGGUAGAGAAUACCAAGGCGCUUGAGAGAACUCGGGUGAAGGAACUAGGCAAAAUGGUGCCGUAACUUCGGGAGAAGGCACGCUGACACGUAGGUGAAGUGAUUUACUCAUGGAGCUGAAGUCAGUCGAAGAUACCAGCUGGCUGCAACUGUUUAUUAAAAACACAGCACUGUGCAAACACGAAAGUGGACGUAUACGGUGUGACGCCUGCCCGGUGCCGGAAGGUUAAUUGAUGGGGUCAGCGCAAGCGAAGCUCCUGAUCGAAGCCCCGGUAAACGGCGGCCGUAACUAUAACGGUCCUAAGGUAGCGAAAUUCCUUGUCGGGUAAGUUCCGACCUGCACGAAUGGCGUAAUGAUGGCCAGGCUGUCUCCACCCGAGACUCAGUGAAAUUGAACUCGCUGUGAAGAUGCAGUGUACCCGCGGCAAGACGGAAAGACCCCGUGAACCUUUACUAUAGCUUGACACUGAACAUUGAGCCUUGAUGUGUAGGAUAGGUGGGAGGCUUUGAAGUGUGGACGCCAGUCUGCAUGGAGCCGACCUUGAAAUACCACCCUUUAAUGUUUGAUGUUCUAACGUGGACCCGUGAUCCGGGUUGCGGACAGUGUCUGGUGGGUAGUUUGACUGGGGCGGUCUCCUCCUAAAGAGUAACGGAGGAGCACGAAGGUUGGCUAAUCCUGGUCGGACAUCAGGAGGUUAGUGCAAUGGCAUAAGCCAGCUUGACUGCGAGCGUGACGGCGCGAGCAGGUGCGAAAGCAGGUCAUAGUGAUCCGGUGGUUCUGAAUGGAAGGGCCAUCGCUCAACGGAUAAAAGGUACUCCGGGGAUAACAGGCUGAUACCGCCCAAGAGUUCAUAUCGACGGCGGUGUUUGGCACCUCGAUGUCGGCUCAUCACAUCCUGGGGCUGAAGUAGGUCCCAAGGGUAUGGCUGUUCGCCAUUUAAAGUGGUACGCGAGCUGGGUUUAGAACGUCGUGAGACAGUUCGGUCCCUAUCUGCCGUGGGCGCUGGAGAACUGAGGGGGGCUGCUCCUAGUACGAGAGGACCGGAGUGGACGCAUCACUGGUGUUCGGGUUGUCAUGCCAAUGGCACUGCCCGGUAGCUAAAUGCGGAAGAGAUAAGUGCUGAAAGCAUCUAAGCACGAAACUUGCCCCGAG
rnacentral:rRNA from 1 species